rnacentral:rRNA from 1 species
UAAGCUUCAUUGUCAAAAGGGAAACAGCCCAGACUACCAGUUAAGGCCCCUAAAUAAUUACUAAGUGGUAAAGGAUGUAUUAGUACGUAGACAACCAGGAGGUUGGCCUAGAAGCAGCCAUCCUUUAAAAAGUGCGUAAUAGCUUACUGGUCAAGUGCUUUUGCGCCGAAAAUGUAUGGGACUAAGUAAUUUGCCGAAGCUGUAGGAUUUAACUGAUCGGUAGAAGAGCGUUCUGUUUUAGGUGGAAGCAAAAUCGAUAGGUUUUGUGGACUAUUCAGAAGUGAGAAUGUCGGCUUAAGUAACGAAAACAUUGGUGGAAAUCCAAUGCCCCGAAAAUCUAAGGUUUCCUUCGCAAGGUUCGUCCACGAAGGGUUAGUCAGAUCCUAAGGUGAUGCUUAAUAGCGUAGCCGAUGGUUAACAGUUUAAUAUUACUGUACUAUAUAAAUUUUUGUUAAAAAGGGACGGAGGAAACUAGGUCAUCCAAAUAUUGGAGUUUUUGGUUUAAUUUUUUGAGGUUUUGAUAGGUAUUAUAAAAAAUACCUUGAGCUGAGAUUAAGAGUACAAUUAGCAUUACGAUGUUAAGAGUGAUUUAUGUUAUACUUCCAAGAAAAACUUUGAUAACGUGUGGGUUUAUAUAACUGUACUAAAUCCGACACAGGUAGAUUGGUAGAGAAUACUAAGGGGCUCGAGAUAACGCUUCCUAAGGAACUCGGCAAAAUGGCUCUGUAACUUCGGGAUAAAGAGUGCCUUAUUUUUAAGGUUGCAAUUACCAGAUCCAUGCGACUGUUUAACAAAAACACAAGUCUCCGUUAAGUUGAUAAAACGAUAUAUGGGGGCUGACGCCUGCCCAGUGCCGGAAGGUUAAAGAAAUCGGUUAGCUUUGGCGAAGCUGGUAACUGAAGCCUCGGUGAACGGCGGUAGUAACUAUAACUAUCCAAAGGUAGCGAAAUUCCUUGUCAGGUAAGUUCUGACCCGCACGAAAGGCGUAACGAUAUGGAUACUGUCUCAGGAAGCGACUCGGUGAAAUAGAAUUGACUGUGAAGAUGCGGUCUACUUGCACUUGGACAGAAAGACCCUAUGAAGCUUUACUGUAGCUUGAUAUUGAUUCUGGAUUUUCUUUGCGCAGCAUAGGUGGGAGACUACGAUCCUCUUUUUCGGAAGUUGGGGAGUCACAAUAUGAGAUACCACUCUUAGAAAAUUAGGAAUCUAAUGGUAUUCUUUUCAAGAUACUUGACAGUUUCAGGUGGGCAGUUUUACUGGGGCGGUAGCCUCCUAAAAGGUAACGGAGGCGUGCAAAGGUUUCUUCAGACUGGACGGAAAUCAGUUGUAGAGUGUAAAGGCAAAAGGAAGCUUGACUGUGAGACAUAUAAGUCGAACAGGGACGAAAGUCGGUCUUAGUGAUCCGACAGUUCUGAGUGGAAAGGCUGUCGCUAAACAGAUAAAAGUUACGUUCGACCUGGAAUUAAAGAAAAUACUUCGGAUAAUUUAAACAGUUUUAAGAAGAUGAAAAUCGACUUAAUCUAAAGCUAUUCAUAAAUGGCGAUGAGAGUUCGCCCUACUAAUGUCAAGUAGAAGCAUAAAAAAGCCAAAUCCUAAGAAGAUAUUGGCUGCCCGUCUCGAAUAUGAAUAAUACAACAUAAAGAGAUAAGAGGGUUUAAAAGUUUAAUGCGAAAAGGACGGUAUCCAAUUUCGAGGGUUAGCUACCUUAAUACUAUGAUUACAGAUGCUCCCACGAGCUGUAGGAAAUUCACGCAUAAAACCUUUGUCUAUGGGGGAAAAUGUACCGAGUUCAAAUCCCUCUAUACUCAAAGAA